GUCGCAGCUUGUGAAACAUGUACUAAAAUUGGAACGAUAGGGUGGAGAUUAGCAUGGCCCCUGCGGAAGGAUGACACUCAAUCGGCACUGUUAGUUGCCCUCUGU